rnacentral:tRNA from 2 species
CGGGACGUAGCGCAGCCCGGUAGCGCACACGUCUGGGGGGCGUGUGGUCGCUGGUUCGAAUCCAGUCGUCCCGACAA